rnacentral:rRNA from 1 species
UACGUAGGUGGCAAGCGUUGUCCGGAUUUACUGGGCGUAAAGAGCGCGCAGGCGGUCGUUCAAGGCGCGUGUGAAAGCCCCCGGCUCAACUGGGGAGGGUCACGCGAUACUGUUCGACUCGAAGGCAGGAGAGGGAAGUGGAAUUCCCGGUGUAGUGGUGAAAUGCGUAGAUAUCGGGAGGAACACCAGUGGCGAAGGCGACUUCCUGGCCUGUUCUUGACGCUGAGGCGCGAAAGCUAGGGUAGCAAACGGG